rnacentral:rRNA from 1 species
AACGAACGCUGGCGGCAUGCCUAACACAUGCAAGUCGAACGAGACCUUCGGGUCUAGUGGCGCACGGGUGCGUAACGCGUGGGAACCUGCCUUUAGGUUCGGAAUAACUCAGAGAAAUUUGAGCUAAUACCGGAUAAUGUCUUCGGACCAAAGAUUUAUCGCCUUUAGAUGGGCCCGCGUUGGAUUAGCUAGUUGGUGGGGUAAAGGCCUACCAAGGCGACGAUCCAUAGCUGGUCUGAGAGGAUGAUCAGACACACUGGAACUGAGACACGGUCCAGACUCCUACGGGAGGCAGCAGUGGGAAUUUCCGCAAUGGGCGAAAGCCUGACGGAGCAAUACCGCGUGA